rnacentral:sRNA from 1 species
CAAGAUUCAUCCCCUACCUUUGCUACCUCUCAAGUAAUCCAGAAAAAGGUAACACACUGUAGCUCUUUAGUAGAGGCCUAGGGGUCCAUGAAGUAUGUGAUAUAAACAGGUUAGGUUUGUCAUCAUUGAAAGCAUUAAGACUGUACUUGCCUUAACACUGUUAACAUCUUGGAAAUAAUUAGGUAUGUGAUCAAGGUCAACUUAACAAUCAUUAUUACAGCAUGCACUCCACCAUUUAAACAAGAAAUCCCCCAUGCUGCAAUCAAGCAUACCUAUGAUUCUCCACAAGCCCCUUAAAGCAUGAAGUUUCUGAAAAAACUAAAUUACUUUCUGUUUGUGUACAUUUUGUUUUGAUAAAUAUAUUUAAUGUCUGAUUUGUUUUUGAUGCUUACAUUCCUUUCCAAGACUGUCUCAAUGCAUCUUCAGCUAUGUAACAGAUACUCUGCUCUCAACAAGAUACAACAAUCAUAGGCAUAUAUAGUUACAACAAUCAUAGGCAUAUGAGGUACAGUUUUCUAAAAAGCAUAAAGUUUUUAUGACUCGAUCAAUGUGCAUCAGAUGAACCAUUUUGUGCUUGAGGAAACACACCCACCCAUGUCUCACCAUAAAAUGUCACAACAACAGUGUGUUAAUAAUCAAUAGGGUGACCAUAAAUUGGCCAGAUUUUUUUUUAUCACAGGCUCAUCUCCCUAAAAGGAAGCAGUGAGGUGAUGUGGGCUGAAUGCAUGACAUUUAUGCUCUUCAGGACUUGUUUUAAGUUUACAUUUAAGUGCUUUUACUUUUUGUUUGUUGUUGUGAUUUUUUUU